AUAAAUAAGAGUGCCAAUUGUUAAAUCAACAACGGGAGUCACUGGGUACAUGCUCCCCACGUAGGAUCUCUGUCCUUAAUGUGUUUUACUAUGAAACUUAAAAACAACACUACUAGUCGAACAAUACCCUAUACCUUGUGCGGUUGUGUGAGUACAGCCUGUUGAAAUUCUUGCUUAGUAUAUACUAAGUUGAUCUUCAGUAUAUGAAGGUCUUUUAUGUACUGAGCUUAAAUACUGAAGCUUCAUGAAUUUUGACUGAUGAAGUACAUCAGUGUAAUUGAGGUGAAGAAACUUGACUGGCUAACUAGUUUAUUUGAAGUCACAAGCCUACCUGCAAGUCAACAUGUUUCUACCAAGAACUUUGAGUUGUUCAAACAUAACAAGCCAUUAACUACCAAACUAACCACAUAAGAAGGAACAAAAUUUGAAGUUUAUUAUAGAAAAAUAAUUAUGGUUCUAUUCUCAAUAGAAAUUUAUUAUUGAAGACUACAGUAAAAAUGGUUAAGUCUUCUAAAUAUUAUAUAGAAUGAAUG